GAUGAACGCUGGCGGCGUGCCUAAUACAUGCAAGUCGAGCGAACAGACGAGGAGCUUGCUCCUCUGACGUUAGCGGCGGACGGGUGAGUAACACGUGGAUAACCUACCUAUAAGACUGGGAUAACUUCGGGAAACCGGAGCUAAUACCGGAUAAUAUAUUGAACCGCAUGGUUCAAUAGUGAAAUACGGUUUUUCUGUCACUUAUAGAUGGAUCCGCGCCGCAUUAGCUAGUUGGUAAGGUAACGGCUUACCAAGGCAACGAUGCGUAGCCGACCUGAGAGGGUGAUCGGCCACACUGGAACUGAGACACGGUCCAGACUCCUACGGGAGGCAGCAGUAGGGAAUCUUCCGCAAUGGGCGAAAGCCUGACGGAGCAACGCCGCGUGAGUGAUGAAGGUCUUCGGAUCGUAAAACUCUGUUAUUAGGGAAGAACAAAUGUGUAAGUAACUAUGCACGUCUUGACGGUACCUAAUAAGAAAGCAACGGCUAACUACGUG
rnacentral:rRNA from 1 species